rnacentral:rRNA from 1 species
CGCUAUCACUCCCGGGAGGCAGCAGUGGGGAAUAUUGCACAAUGGGGGAAACCCUGAUGCAGCCAUGCCGCGUGUGUGAAGAAGGCCUUCGGGUUGUAAAGCACUUUCAGUAGGGAGGAAGGUAGUGUAGUUAACACCUGCAUUAUUUGACGUUACCUACAGAAGAAGCACCGGCUAACUCCGUGCCAGCAGCCGCGGUAAUACGGAGGGUGCGAGCGUUAAUCGGAAUUACUGGGCGUAAAGCGCAUGCAGGCGGCCUGUUAAGUCAGAUGUGAAAGCCCGGGGCUUAACCUCGGAAUUGCAUUUGAAACUGGCAGGCUAGAGUCUUGUAGAGGGGGUAGAAUUUCAGGUGUAGCGGUGAAAUGCGUAGAGAUCUGAAGGAAUACCAGUGGCGAAGGCGGCCCCCUGGACAAAGACUGACGCUCAGAUGCGAAAGCGUGGGGAGCAAACAGGAUUAGAUACCCUGGUAG